GAUGAACGCUGGCGGCGUGCCUAAUACAUGCAAGUCGAGCGAACAGACGAGGAGCUUGCUCCUCUGACGUUAGCGGCGGACGGGUGAGUAACACGUGGAUAACCUACCUAUAAGACUGGGAUAACUUCGGGAAACCGGAGCUAAUACCGGAUAAUAUAUUGAACCGCAUUGUUCAAUAGUGAAAGACGGUUUUGCUGUCACUUAUAGAUGGUUCCGCGCCGCAUUAGCUGGUUGGUAAGGUAACGGCUUACCACGGCAACGAUGCGUAGCCGACCUGAGAGGGUGGUCGGCCACACUGGAACUGAGACGCGGUCCAGACUCCUACGGGAGGCAGCAGUAGGGAAUCUUCCGCAAUGGGCGAGAGCCUGACGGAGCAACGCCGCGUGAGUGAUGAAGGUCUUCGGAUCGUAAAACUCUGUUAUUAGGGAAGAACAGAUGUGUAAGUAACUAUGCACGUCUUGACGGUACCUAAUCAGAAAGCCACGGCUAACUACGUG
rnacentral:rRNA from 1 species